rnacentral:rRNA from 1 species
AGCGAACGCUGGCGGCAGGCCUAACACAUGCAAGUCGAACGGAUCCUUCGGGAUUAGUGGCGGACGGGUGAGUAACACGUGGGAACGUGCCCUUUGGUUCGGAACAACUCAGGGAAACUUGAGCUAAUACCGGAUGUGCCCUUCGGGGGAAAGAUUUAUCGCCAUUGGAGCGGCCCGCGUCUGAUUAGCUAGUUGGUGAGGUAAAGGCUCACCAAGGCGACGAUCAGUAGCUGGUCUGAGAGGAUGGUCAGCCACAUUGGGACUGAGACACGGCCCAAACUCCUACGGGAGGCAGCAGUGGGGAAUCUUGCGCAAUGGGCGAAAGCCUGACGCAGCCAUGCCGCGUGAAUGAUGAAGGUCUUAGGAGUGUAAAAUUCUUUCACCGGGGACGAUAAUGACGGUACCUGAGGAGGAAGCCACGGCUAACUACGUGCCAGCCGCCGCCGUAAGAC